UUCACAACUCACAACAUUUGCAAGCUCUCUUCUCUCCCUCCUUCCCCACUUUCGGCAGCCAUCACACACCACCCAAUCACCACCAUCAAGCUUGGUUCUAGCCAUUUCCCAUACUCUCAAAGGUGCAAGAGGUCAUACAAACAAGCUCGGUGCUUUCGGAAGUUCAAGAAUCGCUCUCGUUUUCUUUUAUCCACCACUUUUCUACACUCGAACUCUCCUAGCCUUGUUCUAGUGGUGAUGUUGCUUAGUGUCGAUUGCGAAUAGGAUGCAAGCUCACUUAGAACUGGAUGAGGCCUUAGUGAUUGAAUAACGAUGAUAGACUAUGUUUGAUUUGCUUGUUUAAAUUUAAGACAAUGUUUAAUAUUUAAUAAAAUGAAACUCUUCGUA